ACUCCUACGGGAGGCAGCAGCUAAGAAUAUUCCGCAAUGGACGAAAGUCUGACGGAGCGACGCCGCGUGGAUGAUGAAGGCCGAAAGGUUGUAAAGUCCUUUUGCUGGGGAAGAAUAAGCAUGGGAGGUAAUGCCCGUGCGAUGACAUGAACCGGCGAAUAAGCCCCGGCUAACUACGUGCCAGCAGCCGCGGUAACACGUAGGGGGCGAGCGUUGUUCGGAAUUACUGGGCGUAAAGGGCAUGUAGGCGGCUUGGUAAGCCUGGCGUGAAAGUCACCGGCUCAACCGGUGGAUUGCGUUGGGUACUGCUGAGCUUGAAUCACGGAGAGGGAGCUAGAAUUCCAGGUGUAGGGGUGAAAUCUGUAGAGAUCUGGAAGAAUACCAGUGGCGAAGGCGAGCUCCUGGCCGAUGAUUGACGCUGAGGUGCGAAAGUGUGGGGAUCAAACAGGAUUAGAUACCCUGGUAGUCCACACUGUCAAUGAUGUGCACUAGGUGCUGGGGUGGAUGCUUCAGUGCCGGAGCUAACGCGGUAAGUGCACCGCCUGGGGAGUAUGCUCGCAAGGGUGAAACUCAAAUGAAUUGACGG
rnacentral:rRNA from 1 species